GUUCGUAUGUUUGUUGCUAAUGUUUCAAAUCAGACGAGUUAAAUAAUAAAUAUUUUUCAUAAGCUGGGUCAAAUUUACUAAGCUACUAUGUAAAUUGUUUUAAGCGUGCAUUUCUGUUUUUGUUUUGCUAACAGAAACUGAAGUGAAAAACCAACCGUCGUCAAUCCAGCGAUCUGCACGAAUCUUCACAAUCUGGGUUUGAUUGCAAUGAUUGCAAUCUAUUGUCAUUUUCUUUGACGAAGCGCCGGAAUGGAAGUUCCGACAAGUUCCCGGGCAGCUGAAGACGAAAAUUUCUGUUCGAAUAUUCGCAAGGCCCAGACCCAAGCCAGAACCAGGGAAAGAAGCUGAAUCAGACGAAUCCGACGUUUUCAUCGGUGUUCAUUUCAAUGUCCAUAUACAUGAGGAUGGUCAUUCGGGAGUAUAUUUGCGGUUAUCAGGAUAAUAGUGACAAUUAGUGAAAAAUAAAACAAAAGUAGUGCAUCAAAAUCUAUUAAAUUAAUUUAUGUAACUUCCUCAGUUAUUCAGGUCAUGAACGAAUGAAAUAUGUAUUCCAAGGUAAAAUAAAAAAAA